GUUGCUUCCUCCUUGAUCCGUGGGAUUAGCCAUUGCAAAGCUGAGCAAAACUCGAGCCCACCCACCGAAACAAAAUCGCUUCCUCCCUCCCACCGAACCCAUUUGCGCCGCCGGCAACUCCUCUCCCCGCCGACCACCUCCCCGGAACCCCCUCUCUCUAUCCCACCCAUUGGAGCCACCCAAAUCGGGCACCCCCUGGAGAAAGCUUCGGCCUUUUUCCUCCAUGGCGGGCGGCGGCGCGGCAGAUGAUUUUGGUGAGGCGGAGCGAAGAUUGGGCGUCACCGGCGGAGGAGCAGGAAGUCCACGACGACGGUGGCGCCCCUGCAGCGGGUGGUGGUGACCGCGGCGGCUCCGCGCGGGGCAGAUGCGACCCUGGCCUUCACCGACGCCUCCGAUGGCAGCAGCCACGGCGGGAUGCUCGUGGUGGGGGACAGAGAGGCGGUAGCAACCAGUAGAAUCAGUCCUAGCUGGAAGGGAGAUGUCCUAUGAUUUAUUUGGCAUCUCAAGCCUCCUCGCUGUUCCGACCAAGACCUGAGAGGCGACAAAGCUGAUGAUCCAAGCAUGCUGCUACUGCUCCUAGCCUCCACCGACAGCCCUUCUUCUGCCAAAGGGAGGAGAGCUAGUUCAAAGCUCAUCGGAGGAGGAGGAACUGAAGAGAGCGACAUUGGGAGGAGGCCUCGUAGGGGAAGCGUGAGGAGGAGGAACACCAUUACAGCCUAAUGAUCACGACGCCGGCGACAAAAAGAAUGUGUUGUAUGGUGAUCAGCUGACAAAGCAAGCCUCAAAUCGGCAAGAUUUUGCAUCCCAGUGAAUAUAGAGUACGGAAGCUGAUGUUAGUAAUGUGGUAUCCCAGUGAAAACAGAGCAAGGGAAAAGCUCAAGAGAACAAUUCAUAGGCCAUUUAGAGAAAUACAAGUGCUGAAAGAAAACAAGACUGUGGCCAAGAAGAACAGCAUGCAGUACUGAAGGAUGAAAAUAAAAGAGUGAUGCAAACUGGAAGAUGUCCUGAUGGAAGGGGACGAGAUAAACUAACUUGUGGAGAUAAACAGGUUCCAGUUGGCAACGGAGGAGGCUGGAGAAGCAUGAGGUUGCUGUGGUGGUGGUGGAGGUCUCUAGUUGGUGUAGAUUACAUGUUUAAGGUGAGCUUGUCUGGACGCGGCGGUGGUGUUUUUAUACUAUGUUUGGAAUGUUAAACCUGGAGGUCGAGUUGUUUGUAUUAUUUCCGAGCCCUGCCGCCAAGUCGAGUUGUUUGUAUUCUUUCCGUGCGAGUAAAGGAAUCGGAAUGGAGAGAUGUGCUGCUGGCCCUGUGGUAUAGAAGAAGUGUAGGUACAGUAGUACUAGCUAAAUUUAUCUGGGAUGCAGGCUUUUUUUAUUUUUGCGGGUACAGGCUUUUGUUUUUCGUCUGAAUUGGUAAGUAAGGAUCUAUGCUGACCAAACAUGAAAAUAUAGAAUAUAAUCAAGUAAACAUGAGUCAAAUAGUUAAUGCGGAAAACCCAAAGCAGGAACAAAAAUCACAGGUGCAUGACCAUGACAUUUCCAC